CUCGAGGAACGAGCCCUUGCAGAAGGAAAUAAUAUCUGGAGACGGUUCUUCCAGAUGUGUCCAAGGAAAAAGAAUGUCAGGGUAGGCUUUAGUUGAUGGGGGGACUAUGCACACUGGAAGAUUUAGCACACAAGAAGGGAAAUACAUCUACUGAUUCAAGGUGCUACUGACAACUGAGGCAGCGAUCCGGGCCAAGGAGCGAGGGUGGAUCCACGGCAGCAGAAUCAAAGGACCCGUGCAGGAACCUAAGGAGUGGACUAGAACAUCUAAGCCUGGGGAUACCAAGGUAACUCUUAAGAGGGAACUGGG